rnacentral:hammerhead_ribozyme from 2 species
AAGCGAAACCGCCCUGAGUGGGCGGUCGUUCCGGAGAGACGGCGACCGGGGCCUGAUGAGCCAGCCGAAU